rnacentral:rRNA from 1 species
AUUGAACGCUGGCGGCAGGCCUAACACAUGCACGUCGAGCGGAGCGGCGGACGGGUGAUUAAUGCCUAGGAAUCUGCCUGGUAGUGGGGGAUAACGUCCGGCAACGGGCGCUAAUCCCGCAUACUAUCAGAUAAGCCUCGGUCGGAUUAGCUAGUUGGUGGGGUAAAGGCCUACCAAGGCGACGAUCCGGAACUGGUCUGAGAGGAUGCUCAGUCACACUGGAACUGAGACACAGUCCAGAACCCUACGGGAGGCAGCAGUGGGGAAUAUUGGACAAUGGGCGAAAGCCUGAGCCAGCCAUGCCGCGUGUGUGAAGAAGGUCUUCGGAUUGUAAAGCACUUUAAGUUGGGAGGCGUUACCAACAGAAUAAGCACCGGCUAACUUGGUGCCAGCAGCCGCGGGAAUAC